GCGAAAGUCGAGGUGGUACGAAAAUCUGCUUCUCUGUGAGAGUACGGGUUCGAGUCCCGUCGUCCGCACCA
rnacentral:tRNA from 6 species